rfam:Punica granatum cultivar Dabenzi scaffold525, whole genome shotgun sequence.
AAGUAAGGUGAUUUAUCCAAAUCGAACUAUUCUUUCGUCUUUUAUUAAAGAAUACCGUGUGCUCACUGCACUGAGUGGCAUACGCCAAUUUUUUUCUUUUAUUUGUCCAGAAAG